rnacentral:RNase_P_RNA from 1 species
GCAGACGGCUGGAUGAUCGCCGCCGCUUGGGCCGCAAGGCGUUGAGCGGGGGAGGAAAGUCCGAACUCCGCAGGGCAGUGUGCCGGAUAACGUCCGGGACGGCCGCUUCAAGGCGGCUGGACGGCAAGUGCAACAGAGAAGAUACCGCCUCAGGCUUCGGCCUGCGGUAAGGGUGAAAAGGUGCGGUAAGAGCGCACCGCGCGUCCAGUAAUGGGCGCGGCGAGGUAAACCCCACACGGAGCAAGACCAAAUAGGCAGGGAUCGUACCGCUCCUCUUCAGGCGGCGCGAAGCGUAUCGGCCCGAUGCGCCCAGGCGGAGAGACCAGGCGGCGAGCGAAAGUUCAAUGCUGGAGCCAAAACCUGCGGGUAGGUUGCUGGA